GAGUUUGAUCAUGGCUCAGGAUGAACGCUGGCGGCGUGCCUAAUACAUGCAAGUCGAACGAACAGAUAAGGAGCUUGCUCCUUUGACGUUAGCGGCGGACGGGUGAGUAACACGUGGGUAACCUACCUAUAAGACUGGAAUAACUCCGGGAAACCGGGGCUAAUGCCGGAUAACAUGUUGAACCGCAUGGUUCUACAGUGAAAGACGGUCUUGCUGUCACUUAUAGAUGGACCCGCGCCGUAUUAGCUAGUUGGUGGGUAACGGCCUACCAAGGCGACGAUACGUAGCCGACCUGAGAGGGUGAUCGGCCACACUGGAACUGAGACACGGUCCAGACUCCUACGGGAGGCAGCAGUAGGGAAUCUUCCGCAAUGGGCGAAAGCCUGACGGAGCGACGCCGCGUGAGUGAUGAAGGUCUUCGGAUCGUAAAGCUCUGUUGUUAGGGAAGAACAAAUGUGUAAGUAACUGUGCAUAUCUUGACGGUACCUAACCAGAAAGCCACGGCUAACUACGUGCCAGCCGCCGCCGU
rnacentral:rRNA from 1 species